AGCAGCCGCGGUAAUUCCAGCUCCAAUAGCGUAUAUUAAAGUUGUUGCAGUUAAAAAGCUCGUAGUUGAAUUUCGGGGUCAAUACGUCGGUCGUGCUUCGGUACGCACUGACGAUAUUGGCCCUCCCUUCUGACGAACCGUGAUGUCAUUAAUUUGGUGUUGCGGGGAAUCAGGACUGUUACCUUGAAAAAAUUAGAGUGUUUAAAGCAGGCAAUCGCUCGAAUACAUUAGCAUGGAAUAAUGAAAUAGGACGUUCGAACCUAUUUUGUUGGUUUCUAGGAUCGACGUAAUGAUUAAUAGGGAUAGUUGGGGGCAUUAGUAUUCAAUUGUCAGAGGUGAAAUUCUUGGAUUUAUUGAAGACUAACUACUGCGAAAGCAUUUGCCAAGGAUGUUUUCAUUAAUCAAGAACGAAAGUUAGGGGAUCGAAGACGAUCAGAUACCGUCGUAGUCUUAACCAUAAACUAUGCCGACUAGGGAUCGGAUGAUGUAAUUUUUAAUGACUCAUUCGGCGCCUUACGGG
rnacentral:rRNA from 1 species